rnacentral:rRNA from 1 species
UACGGAAGGGGCAAGCGUUGUUCGGAAUCAUUGGGCGUAAAGGGUGCGUAGGUGGGUCUGUAAGUCAGUGGUGAAAUCUCCGAGCUUAACUCGGAAACUGCCGUUGAUACUAUAGAUCUUGAAUAUCGCGUAGGUAAGCGGAAUAUGUCAUGUAGCGGUGAAAUGCUUAGAUAUGACAUAGAACACCAAUUGCGAAGGCAGCUUACUUCACGAUCAUUGACACUGAGGCACGAAAGCGUGGGGAGCAAACAGG